GCCGGGCAUGGUGGCGGGUGCCUGUAAUCCCAGCUACUUGGGAGGCUGAGGCAGAGAAUUGCUUGAUCCCAGGAGGCGGAGGUUGCAGUGAGCUGAGAUCACACCACUGCACUCCAGCCUGGGUAACAGAGCGAGACUCUGUCUCAA
ensembl:misc_RNA Metazoa_SRP Metazoan signal recognition particle RNA